UUUUUUUUUUUUUUUUUUUUUUGGUAUUUUCUUAACCUAAUAUAUACAGAUAGUGUGCUUUGUGGGAGGGUCUAUGUGGAUUGUCCUCAACCCUACGGAGGUAAAGUUCCAUUACAGCCCCAUGGUGUCUUUGCCCGUUUGGAGAUUGAUACAUCUGGGAACAGUAAAAGCAAAGCCGUUCUGUCGCACCACACCCUCCUACCACCCUGCUAGCAGCUUGGUGCUUCACUAAGGAUCGGGAAGAGGGUCUCAAACACUCCUAGUUCAGAAACAGCUACACUCCAUGAAUGAGAUGAGGCACCCAUGCAGGGAUGCAUGCAACAGAGAAGGGCUAGCAGCCGUGCCACCAACAAUUAAGACCUGUUCUAUGUUACGGUUCUCUAUGGCUUUCUUGUUGGCCCAGAGCUCUGGUGAGUUGGGUCUGCAGAGCUCUCAGAGAGCCAGAGUUGGUGAGAGGAGUUGGUUUCUGGGCCUUUAGUUUUGGAAGCAGCAGCCCAGGAAGGCCUGUGCUGGCUCUGUCAGCUUUCCAUCUCUGCCCUGCCCUCUGUCCGGUGGCGCUGCACUAUUCAUUACCUCAGAGGAAGCGCUCUGCUCUAGUGCCUCAGGCUGCCGUAGCAGUGUGUGGUGAUGAACAUCCCUGUGAGAGGCCCCUGUAGGUGCCCUGGCACAGCAUAGGUAGGAAUGAAGGCACUGGCCAGGCUUAGAUCCUGUGCAGUUGGCCCUCAGGCCUGAGGUCCAGCCGAACUGUUGUGAAGUUGCUCAGAAGCAGGGAGGUCUCUACAGUCUUUAGAGUAAGCUGUUUAGUGGUUCUCACUUGGAGCUCCUCUCCACGUGACCCCAGUCACUCAGCUAAAGUCAGUGUACACAUGACACACUUAACCUGGUGUGCGACACGCCUACAGUUUCUGCGCUUGGGAAGUAGAGACAAGGAGGCUGGGGAACUUAGCCAUCCUCAGCUGUCAAGGUUGAGGCCAGCCUGAGAUACAGAUCUAACCUAAAACGAACAAAUACGUACGAGGUGAAGAAAAAAGACAUUUACUGACAAACCCUAAGUAUUUGAAAAACAGUUCCGCAGGCUAAAGAGCGCUGGACAGUAUUCUGGAAGUUCUGAGGCUCUCGAGUUUCACAUGCAGCACCCAUGCAUGGGCAUGGUGAUGUGCCACUGUGAUCCCAGUGCUGGGGGGUGGGACGGGCAGGUCUCUGGGGCUCACCGGCUAGCCUGCCUGCCUUAGUUGGUGAGCCCAGCGAGAGACCAUCUCACAAAGGGGGCUGGGAGGGAACGAGAGCCACAGCAUGGCCGGCAAGUGUCCUGACAGCUCCUGGCAGGAACUUGAACUUGGUUUCAGCACCUCUUGCACCUCAGACUGCCUGUAACUCCAGACCUGGGUCUCUGACACCCUCACGCACCUACCCACACAGGCACAGUGCAUGCACUUGAAAAUGAUUUUUUUCAAAAAGGUAAGAAGCACCUGAGGCUGACCUUUAACCUUCUCAAGCAUACAGAUGCUUACAACACAAAUAAGAAAUGAACUAAAAUUAAAAAACAUAAUUUUACCAUUAAUCAUAGAUAGGCAAGUUUGUAUACUCUGGGGAUAGCUGUGCCUUUGCUAGGCUAAGAAAUCUUAGCUGGGUAUUGGGAGGCCGAGACAGGUAGUUCGAAGUCAGUCCGGUCUACAGAGUGAGUUCCAGGACUACGUAGUGAGAUCUUGGUUAAGUGAAUAUGUAAAUAAAUUAAAUAAAUCUUGCCUGAAUAUUUGAUCCUGUGGGUCCUAGAGAAUCACCAGCAUUUUAGACUUGACCGGUAUUUUCAUUUUUGUAAUUGUCAAGGCUGAGGUGUCGAUCCCAGGUUGAGUAAGUAUGGGGUAUAAUGUGUUUAGGACCAUUUCGUAGGUUACUGAGAUUCUCUAGCACGGGACUGUCAACAUGCCUCGGUGAGGAGAGGCAAUUACCAGCAUCCCUGAUAACCUGAGUUUGAACAACAGUUCCCACAGGAUGGCAGGAGAGAACAAGCUCUCACUCGACCUCUGACCGCCACACACUGACCGACUCUCACACAAGGCAAAUGUAAAGAUGUUUAAAAGGAAACAUCUUGGGGCUGGGGAUUUAGCUCAGUGGUAGAGCGCUUACCUAGGAAGCGCAAGGCCCUGGGUUCGGUCCCCAGCUCCGAAAAAAAGAACCAAAAAAAAAAAAAAAAAAAAAAAGGAAACAUCUUAGCACAGUAUAAUCCAAAGGUAAACUAAUUUGAUACAUGGCAAGGGCCAAGGAAUGACAGUAGGAAAACAUUAAGCCUUUGUUUUCUGUAAUCAAACAGUUAUGUUUCUGUAAGAGCAGAAAAAUUACAUCCAGCAAAAUACAUCAGUUUGUCACAUACCAAUGUCUGGAAUCUGAGCUGAUGUAUCUUGGGCCCCUCAGCUUUCUGGGUUGUGCCAGCAUGCUCGGGAAACAACCAGAACCAGGCUGCAGUGAGAGGCAGUGCAGCACCAGGUCACGCUGCCCGGAACACCUGAGUCGUUAGCCGUCUCAUUCAGAAACCUCAGCUUGCCACACUCGGGUUUCCAUGGCUCACAAUGUAAGAUGCUGUGCCUUUAAAGACUGAGGCUUAGAGCGAGGGAGUCCUCGUGCUCUCUGACCCAGGUUCCCACUCUUCUAAGUAAGAAACGCUUCGUUUUUAUUUCCCCUUUUGCCCUGCUUGUGAAGAAACUCAGGAUAAGUUCUCUUACUCCUCCUCCAGGGUGAUUGCACUCCAAUCUCAAUGUGCGCUUGGGGGUCGGGAGAAAUAAAUGCCUUACGUCCAUUUUGGGAGAAAAGCCAAACCAAAAAGGAAAGGCUAAUUGUGUGGUUCCAGAGGUAAGAGGCUCCAUGCCUAAGAGCAAGAGCGGGAGAUUCCAGGAGAGGGCACAGCCCCGGGGAAAGUACAGGGAUUCUCUGGUCAAGUGCGCCAGUGCCUAGAGUUUUGGGGAAACCUGCCCCUGAUUGGAAUAUGAGCUUUCAAAGAAAACACAAGGAAAUGAGAGGUCUUUCAGCUCAUGAAUAGUGUGAAGAACCCAGAAGAGCAGGAAAUGAGUGCAGUGAUGCCCCUGAGGUCCGUCCACGCUAACUCCCCCCACAUUCCAGCCUUCACUGAGGAGUUAAAGAGCAGGGGGAGGGGCGCCUCCGUUUUGUCAACUGUGUUCUCCACCCAAAAGGUUUCUGAGGAUGACAAAGAUGACCUUUGGCUAGAUCUUGGAACUGAAAGCUCACUGUCUUGAGGAAGACAUCCUAUGAGCCUCAGUGAAGUGGGGAUCACACUGCCCAUGAAGAAUGGUAGACUUCAUACAGGUUAACAAGCAGUCGCUGGCACCAAGUGGUUCCUCCUGCUCCCGGGGGCCAUUCGCCAAAGCCAGCAGAUAUUUCAGAAUGGCCAGCUUCACCGUUUUAAUUCCCAGUGGCUGCUCCACCCUCUGUCUGUGGAAGACUUACCAAACUUCUGGAUUCUCCUGAGCUGCCAGAUGUACCCCUGGGUGGAAAUGGGGACCCAUCCCAUGCCUAGGGAUGCCGACUUGAGUGGAAACUGUCAGGAGGUGUGUGGACCUGACACAGCAGCUAGGCAGAUAAGACAGACUUGACACAAGGGGUUGGGGAUUUAGCUCAGUGGUAGAGUGCUUGCCUAGCAAGCACAAGGCCCUGGGUUCGGUCCCCAGCUCCGAAAAAAAAAAAAAAAAAAAAAAAGACAGACUUGACAGACCCACAACUCACUGAGAAACAGAGCUGUGCAAGCACUCCUCCGGCUGGCUGUACCUGCACAUGUCACAAACCCAUUGCCAUAGCCGCCUUAGGAACUGCCCUGCCUGAGGCCACUGGAGCUGAGGCAUGACACUAGGGAGGAGGCAAGAAGAGCCCCUUGUGAGAAUGGUUACAUUCUGCCUUACAUUCUUUGAAAAUCGCCCUGUAAUAAGGGAGGGGAGCUGAGGGCUUCCAGCUCCUGUGUUCUAAGGAAAUGAGUAAGCUCGUGCCGAAAGCUCUUGUAGCAGGAUGAGGACUGGAAACAACCUAAGUUUCCAACAACAGGGAGAUUGGCUGAUUCAUCGCGGGACAGAAGAAUAUACAGUUACGGACUAAUCGCUUCAGAAAAAUCUCACAAUAAGGUGCCGGGCGAGUAAACACGUUAACAAAGCAAUGCA
ensembl:lncRNA